AACUGUUCUAUAGAGGUAGGCAGGCAGGCAGGCAGCUAACUGUUCUAUAGAGGCAGGCAGGCAGGCAGCUAACUGUUCUAUAGAGGUAGGCAGGCAGGCAGCUAACUGUUCUAUAGAGGCAGGCAGGCAGCUAACUGUUCUAUAGAGGCAGGCAGGCAGCUAACUGUUCUAUAGAGGCAGGCAGGCAGGCAGGCAGCUAACUGUUCUAUAGAGGCAGGCAGGCAGGCAGGCAGCUAACUGUUCUAUAGAGGCAGGCAGACAGGCAGGCAGCUAACUGUUCUAUAGAGGUAGGCAGGCAGGCAGCUAACUGUUCUAUAGAGGUAGACAGGCAGGCAGCUAACUGUUCUAUAGAGGCAGGCAGGCAGCUAACUGUUCUAUAGAGGUAGGCAGGCAGCUAACUGUUCUAUAGAGGCAGGCAGGCAGCUAACUGUUCUAUAGAGGCAGGCAGGCAGCUAACUGUUCUAUAGAGGCAGGCAGGCAGGCAGCUAACUGUUCUAUAGAGGCAGGCAGGCAGCUAACUGUUCUAUAGAGGCAGGCAGGCAGGCAGCUAACUGUUCUAUAGAGGUAGACAGGCAGGCAGGUAGGCAGCUAACUGUUCUAUAGAGGCAGGCAGGCAGGCAGCUAACUGUUCUAUAGAGGCAGGCAGGCAGCUAACUGUUCUAUAGAGGCAGGC